AUAGGUCUGGGUAAUCUUGUGAAUGCGCAUCGUGCUAGGGAUAGACUGUUGCAAUUUUCAGUCUUGAACGAGGAAUUCCUAGUAAACGCAAGUCAUCAGCUUGCAUUGAUUACGUCCCUGCCCUUUGUACACACCGCCCGUCGCACCUACCGAUUGAAUGACUCGGUGAAAAAUUGGGACCGUGAGUCUGUUUGCUUUAUUGCGAGUGGAUUGAUGGGAACUUUUUUAAACCUCGCCAUUUAGAGGAAGGUGAAGUCGUAACAAGGUUUCCGUAGGUGAACCUGCGGAAGGAUCAUUA
rnacentral:rRNA from 1 species